rnacentral:rRNA from 1 species
GCUUACACAUGCAAGUCGAACGGUAACGACCUCAUUACCUUCGGGUAACGAGGGGCGACGAGUGGCGGACGGGUGAGUAACGCAUAGGAAUCUGCCCAGUAGUGGGGGACAACCUGGGGAAACCCAGGCUAAUACCGCAUACGCCCUACGGGGGAAAGCGGGGGAUCUUCGGACCUCGCGCUAUUGGAUGAGCCUAUGUCUGAUUAGCUUGUUGGUAGGGUAACGGCCUACCAAGGCAACGAUCAGUAGCUGGUCUGAGAGGAUGAUCAGCCACACUGCGACUGAGACACGGCGCAGACUCCUACGGGAGGCAGCAGUGGGGAAUAUUGCACAAUGGGCGCAAGCCUGAUGCAGCAAUGCCGCGUGUGUGAAGAAGGCCUGCGGGUUGUAAAGCACUUUCAGUAGCGAAGAAAAGCCUGAGGUUAAUACCCUCGAGUCUUGACGUUAGCUACACAAGAAGCACCGGCUAACUCCGUGCCAGCAGCCGCGGUAAUACGGAGGGUGCGAGCGUUUAUCGGAAUUACUGGGCGUAAAGCGCGCG